rnacentral:rRNA from 1 species
GACGUAGGGCGCGAGCGUUAUCCGGAUUCACUGGGUUUAAAGGGUGCGUAGGUGGGUUGGUAAGUCAGUGGUGAAAUCUCCAAGCUUAACUUGGAAACUGCCGUUGAUACUAUCAAUCUUGAAUCUCGUGGAGGUAAGCGGAAUAUGUCAUGUAGCGGUGAAAUGCUUAGAUAUGACAUAGAACACCGAUAGCGAAGGCAGCUUGCUACACAAUCAUUGACACUGAGGCACGAAAGCGUGGGGAGCAAACAGG